rnacentral:rRNA from 1 species
UACAGAGGUCUCAAGCGUUGUUCGGAUUCAUUGGGCGUAAAGGGUGCGUAGGCGGCGCGGUAAGUCGGGUGUGAAAUCUCGGAGCUUAACUUCGAAACUGCAUUCGAUACUGCCGUGCUUGAGGACUGGAGAGGAGACUGGAAUUUACGGUGUAGCGGUGAAAUGCGUAGAGAUGUGGAGGAACACCAGUGGCGAAGGCGACUUUCUGGUCUGUAACUGACGCUGAGGCGCGAAAGCGUGGGGAGCAAACAGG